UUUAUACUCCCUCCGUUCCAAAAUAGAUGACUCAACUUUGUACUAAUUUUAGUUAAAGUUAGUACAAAGUUGAGUCAUCUAUUUUGGAACGGAGGGAGUACAUC
rfam:Triticum aestivum genome assembly, contig: Triticum_aestivum_CS42_TGACv1_scaffold_373972_5AL